UCUCUUUAACACUUUAACCCAACCAGCUGAAGCAGCACAUGUGGGUCACCUUGGAGACAGCCGACCUACCAAUCUGAAAGAGACCGUUUUCCCUAACUUCCAGGACUGGGGGAGUUAACGGUUUGAGCGAACUCUCUCGCUGAAGUCCCACGGCUUCAGGGUCAUUCGACUUGCAAAUUGACUUGGCUCCUCUCUCACACCCAUGUUUAGGGGGCUGUGGCCAGCAUGGUGUUUUCCAUAGCCCUGGAACGGAAAUCAGGUUGGGCAGCGUGACCAACCGCUGAAGCACGGCAGGAGGAAUGACUAGAUAGGAUUUAAGGAUGGCUCCCGGGACCGCAGCAUCAGAGGAACGUCAAGAACACACCUUAAGGGAGAGAAAGACCGUUGUGAGGGCUCUCAGGAGCAAGCACCUAUACUCUCUUGGCAACUUUCCUCGAUGUCCAGUGUCCACGCACCUCCUAGCUUUGAGCAUCGCUGUCUACUCGUCCUUGAGAGCGUCAGCAAGAAGGAAAUUACUCUGCCAUUUUCAACCACCCCUCAUCCCAAUCUUACCAUACUUAUCCUAGACUGGCUCUUCCAGGACCAGAUCUGAGUCUGACUCACCUCUGUGUUCCCAAAAUUGAGUACCGGCUGGUCCAAGAGUGGUUUCCUACCUAUAUCUGAAGAGUUGAGUAUAUGUGGGGCCCAUCUCAUUCACUGUGUUCUAGGCCCUAGGGUGUUUUUCAUCCUAACAGGAAACUGAUCUGGCCUAGGGUGUUGUCUGCAAGUCACCCAUGGGCACCAUUGCCUUCGCCAGGCCGCGGUUUCUUAAUGUAGUACUGGAAGUUCAUGUAUUUUUCCCAAAAGGGUAGGCAAAGUUUUCAAGAGUUUGUGGGUUGUUUUCUGGGAGGGAGGAUCAGCAACAGUCUCCAUCAGAAUUCAGCGGGGUUGUGAGAAGAGACCGGAGAAAGGGUACGGGGAGGAGAAUAGUUCCCGGAAACAUUUGCCCAGAUCCCUGGGUCACACACCUGCUGUCCUCCUCCGUCCUCCUCCGGCAUGGGAGGAGCCCUGAGCUCCAGGGGUGCAUGUCACUGUUUGGCCCUUUGGGAAGUUCUAUAAACUGGGAUGUGUCCCCUGCAAGCACACUCCUGUGGUGUGAGCACCCUUCAAAGGCAUUUGCUGGCUUUCACAGGGCUCUGGAUCUUUUCGAGGCAAGUUUAGAAGCCUCACUCACUCCCAGGGCGGUACUAGGGUGGGGGGUGGGGUCCAGGACAGGGCCUGGUGUGCACUAGGCAAAGCUCUCCACCUCUCCAGCCCCCAUCCCUUUGAGUUGAACUCAGCUCUGUUUUUCCCUAAGGUCUCUUCCCAGGAGCAAUUGCCCUUGCCUGCUUUUCCUUCAGGCCUCUGCUGUCGGGUCUUCAGGGCCAACUCUCUGCCUGACCAUGGCCUGAGCAGCGAGAACCCCUCCCCUAACACCUGUUUCAGCACAUGACUGGGCCAAUCCUGAUUUUCAAGACACAUUUCUGUGGUCCUUCAACUGUCAGGGCUAUUGAUGAAUUGUGGUCUCCCAAGAAGACGGGCUCCUCACUUGACGCCUCUCUGUUCUGUUCCUGUGGCCUAGCAAGGGGUAUGCACACCAUAGGUGCUAAAUAAAUGUGCAGUAUCAAGAAAACAGUCUUGUUUUCACAGACUGGAUCGGCCAUAGCUGAACCAGUUUCUUGGAUGCUCUCUAACGGGCAUGCAGGAUGCCUUGUUUUCUUAUGCGGUAUAGAGUGGCCAUUCUGGGGCUCGAAGGGAGAACGUGGUUCCUCACUGCCGACCCAGGGAAGGAGCUCAGCUACGUAGACUCUGAACCCAGGCAGUCUGGAUUCAAACCUCAAUGUAACUCUAUUGCCCUGAGCAUGUUGAUCUCUUUGUGCCCACGUGUCCCUUAUCUUAUACAGGGAUGUUAACAUCCUAGGCCACUUGGGGGACUCUUGAGAGAAUUCAAGCAUUUGUAAUCUAGAGUGGGACAUUGCCAGUGCAUGGCUGUCAUUAAUGGCCACACAAUUCAAGUCCCUUCUGCCCUUUGCCUUUCAAUAAUAUGUCUAAAGCCUAGAGCCUUCACUUCAAUUUCUUGGCUCCCAUUUAACCAGCCCAAGUAACGGGAUCAUCCAAGGUCAUUUCCAACCUGUGGACACUGGGUUGUUAGCUGGAAGGACCCAUGUGUGCCCUGGUCUCUGGCGCAUGGGGCCAAUCUUAGUUUCAGCAGAAUAGUCAUAGUUACACCCCAGUCUUGGAUCUUGGAGUUUUCUUAUUUAUGAAGCAAGCCCCAAAUACCUCCUCAAGCCAGAAGCCUGAUGGGAGAAUUCAUUAAUGCCCUUGCCUGACCCUUGAGAAUGAAAAAGGGUCAGGGAAAGUUGGACUUGCUGAGUGUCUAGCACAAUCCUUGACAUCUUGCACAUCCUUUAGUGAGCCUUCACAUUAGCCCGAGGAACCCACAGAAGACGCCUAUGACUCAAGAAUUAUCGGCCAACAUGUGGACUUCCUGCUGAUGUCUGCACUUGCAUUAGAGGAGGCUCUGGAAUACCAUUUGUGGUAAUGGACCACUUCUGUAUCUUGAUUGUGGUGAUGAUUAUAUGGGAUCAAAUCUCACAGGAGCAAAUGGCACAGGCUGCGUGCUGAGCGGAAGCCUCUGGACUCUUAAAGAAGGCUUCUGAGUUAGUGAAAUUGGACUACAGCCAACUUGCUGGCUCAGAGUUUUGUGGUCACAUUAGAUGUUGCUACUGGGGGAAGCUGGGGAACGGUCCAUGGAACCCUCUAUCUCUGCUAUUUAAGGCUUGUGAGUCUUAAACUAGAAUAAAAUGAAAUAUUUG
rnacentral:lncRNA from 1 species